UGCUGUGUGGCCCUUGUUCCUUGGCUCUUUUAAUAUCUUUGCCUUCUCCCGUUGCCCUCCAGGUCUAGGAAUGGAAGUGUUUUGCUGAUGUAGCUAAUGUUGGGGUUGUUUUCUCUGGAAGCAGGAACUGAGAGUGAAUUUGGAUUAUCGUGAUCAAUAUGGAAGUAAAAUCUACAAGUUCAAAUGAGACUUAGAGUUAUUCUCUGAAGAUUUAGCAACAAAGACUGCCAAGUGUUUAAUCAAAAGAUUGCAUUUUCUCACGAUAAAAAUGGAUAGUUGUGGCUUGGAAAAUGGGAAACUGGACCAACUAUGAACUAGAGCAAAGUUGAAGACAACUCUAAAUGUUUCGAGAGUAUUUUUGGUAAUUCCCUGAGCUUUCCUGACAAUUGGUCCUUCUACCCUCACUGCAUCCUGUGGGAUAAUGUUACAUACCCGAAGUCCGGGAGGCAGCACGGUGCAACUUCAGGGGUAGUAGCAGUUUUCCUUUUUUGUUUUUUUUUCAAUUAAACGGUUUUUCCGAGAAAACCUAAUUAUUUAAUAGUGUUGUAGCUCUGAAGUUGUGAGUUGAUUCGAGAUAUUUGGAGUUCUGGUUCUGUGAGGCUUAGCUACAUGUGGCUAUUGGAUCACAUAUCCGCUCCCCUGCCAUGUAAGAUGAAAACACGUUGGAAUAUAACUAUUGGUUGGCUUUGUGGUGUUGGGUGAGUGUGCCAGUCUGAGGUUAGAGAAGAGAUGGGAUCCCAAGCCCUGGGCUUUGUAUUAUAUAGUAUUGUAUUUUGAUGUUGUACUUAAGGGUCAAUUACUGUUUCCAUUAUAAACCUUGUUUUUCAAGGGUUUAUAACUCACCAAUUUUCAUUUUGGUAUGCAAGCUGCAUGAAUAUACAGGUUUUAAAAAUAGCUU